UACGUAGGGGGCAAGCGUUAUCCGGAUUUACUGGGUGUAAAGGGAGCGCAGACGGAAAUGCAAGCCAGAAGUGAAAACCCGGGGCUCAACCCCGCGGACUGCUUUUGGAACUGCGUAUCUAGAGUGCAGGAGAGGCAGGCGGAAUUCCUAGUGUAGCGGUGAAAUGCGUAGAUAUUAGGAGGAACACCAGUGGCGAAGGCGGCCUGCUGGACUGUAACUGACGUUGAGGCUCGAAAGCGUGGGGAGCAAACAGG
rnacentral:rRNA from 1 species